GAUGAACGCUAGCUAUAGGCUUAACACAUGCAAGUCGAGGGGCAGCGAAUAGAUAGCUUGCUAUUUAUGUCGGCGACCGGCGCACGGGUGAGUAACGCGUAUCCAACCUGCCCAUAACUAAGGGAUAACCCAGCGAAAGUUGGACUAAUACCUUAUGUAUUCGUUUGAUCUCAUGAGAUUACGAAUAAAGAUUUAUCGGUUAUGGAUGGGGAUGCGUCUGAUUAGCUUGUUGGCGUGGUAACGGCCCACCAAGGCAACGAUCAGUAGGGGUUCUGAGAGGAAGGUCCCCCACAUUGGAACUGAGACACGGUCCAAACUCCUACGGGAGGCAGCAGUGAGGAAUAUUGGUCAAUGGACGCAAGUCUGAACCAGCCAAGUAGCGUGCAGGAUGACGGCCCUAUGGGUUGUAAACUGCUUUUAUAUGGGGAUAAAGUGGGGAACGUGUUCCCUUUUGCAGGUACCAUAUGAAUAAGGACCGGCUAAUUCCGUG
rnacentral:rRNA from 1 species